GGAUGCGUGGUGUAGUGGUUAUCACGUCUCGUUUACAUUCAUGGAAGUAAACAGGUUCCCGAGAAGGUCGCAGGUUCGAUCCCUGCCGCGUUCA